rnacentral:rRNA from 1 species
AGCAGCCGCGGUAAUUCCAGCUCCAAUAGCGUAUAUUAAAGUUGUUGCAGUUAAAAAGCUCGUAGUUGAAUUUCGGGAUUAGUACGCUGGUCGUGCCUUCGGUAUGUACUGGUGUUACUGGUUCCUACCUUCUGACGAACCGUCAUGUCAUUAAUUUGGUGUGGCGGGAAAUCAGGACUGUUACUUUGAAAAAAUUAGAGUGUUUAAAGCAGGCUCGCGCUUGAAUACAUUAGCAUGGAAUAAUGAAAUAGGACGUUCGAUCCUAUUUUGUUGGUUUCUAGGAUUGACGUAGUGAUUAAUAGGGAUAGUUGGGGGCAUUAGUAUUCAAUUGUCAGAGGUGAAAUUCUUGGAUUUAUUGAAGACUAACUACUGCGAAAGCAUUUGCCAAGGAUGUUUUCAUUAAUCAAGAACGAAAGUUAGGGGAUCGAAGACGAAUCAGAUACCGUCGUAGUCUUAACCAUAAACUAUGCCGACUAGGGAUCGGAUGAUGUUAUUUUUAAUGACCCAUUCGGCGCCUUAC